UAACACUUUGAACAGAACCUUUUCCAAAAGAUUUUUCACCCAUAAUAACUGCUCUUUUGUGGUCUUGCAAAGCGCCGGCCAAAAUCUCCGAAGCCGAAGCUGAUCCAUCAUUAAUCAUAACAACAAUCGGCAAUCCGUCUGCAAUAUCUCCGGAAGUAGCGCUAUAUUUACUGGUAUCUGCUUCAUCGCGAGAGCGUGUAGAAACAAUUUCCCCUUUAUCCAAAAACAAAUCCGAAAUAGCCACCGCCUGAUCCAAUAAACCUCCGGGGUUAUUGCGA
rnacentral:ncRNA from 1 species